rnacentral:RNase_P_RNA from 1 species
GUGGAUGGAAGCUCAUCGUAGAGGUCACAUGCAGAGUGCUAGUCUCGUAACCAAUCACCUUGGGGAAGGUUUGAGACAGGAGCCAAUGACUGCCCUAGCAGGGCAUUACCCUCUCUGGGUGAAUGAGUGCACAGAGAAUAUUGGCUGUUGUGAGCUGUCUUCACAGGAGAAACCAGCCAGUGUAUCUCUCCAGCACUUCUGGUGGAUGUGACCCCACUGGUUUGGAAUCACUCAUGGCCGGCAUAUGAGUGAAAUGUUGGAGUAUACCUCCAGAACUCUGCCCACAGUUUUGUUCUCAAACUACGUUUACUCUUUCAAC